CCAUAGGCCAAGGCCUAUUGGCCUUCAGCAAUGGUCAGGGGUGCAGGAAGAAACUCUAGUAGUGUGAAAAGGAAAUAGGCAUUUGGGCCCAAGAGGAAAGGGCCCAAACCGAAUCUGAGUGAAAGGGGGAGUUUGAAUCCAACUCAGAACUUCCCUCCACAUUCAAAGUUGAGACACAUUCAAAAAGAAUAUUUUUCCGCUUCGCCGUGCUGGAGCUCAUCGUCAGCGGCGUCGAAGCUCCAGAGCUGAAAUCAUAAACCUCAAACUCUUCGUCUCAACUUGCUGAAGCCGAACCCCCUAACCCAAAAUAUAUGAUUCUUAAAUAAAAGAAUGAAUCAAAAAAGAAAACAAAAGGAGCCCUAAAGUUGUAAACAAAAAUUAAAUGGUGGUGGUGCAUGAACCCAAGUAAUUGAUUGAUGGUUAAUGACCUCCGAAGUAUGCUCUUCCUUCUGGUAACUUUGGUUUGAAGAAUGGAUGAGUUCAAAGUAUUGCUUCGCCGGAGAAUAAUACUGAAGCAACGAUGGCAACAAAUGUUUCAGGGUUUGAAUGCAGGUUGCCAUGGCCUUGGAUUUGUGAAAUUGCUGCUGAUGUUGCAUGGGGUUUGUUGUUUGCUGCAGAUUUAGGUGAUGAUGCAUUUGGUGUUUGAGGUUUUGGCUAAGUGAUUGUAGUAGGAUGUGGCAAUAUGUGGAUUACAAUUGGAUAUGGCAAUGUGAGGAAGUUGCAGGUCUGUUGUAGGGUGUUUUUAACAUGGUUGUUUGUGGUAAGUUGCCUGCUGGAGUUGUUGUUGUAGUAUGUUGCAGAAUUAUAUGCAUUGCAGGCUAAUGUGUUCUUGAUGCAGGCUUAGAAUUGCAUUGAAUGGCCUUGCUGCAGGAUUGUUUGACAUGGUUACUUGCAUUGGCUUGUCAUGGCCUGAUGUAUGAUGAUGCUUUGCUGCAAGUAUGGAUUGCAGGUUGUGUUGUGUUUGUGUUGAUGACUGAGUCUGCUAUGGAAGGAUCAUGGUUUGUAUUGGAUUUGAAGGUUUGCAUUGUUGUUGACAUUGUUGAAUAGUAAACUGGUAGGUUUUGCAAAGGAAUGCCACAUGCUUGGUUUGAUGGGCCAUUUGUAGGACUGAUGUUGUGCUGAUGUAGGCCUGCUGCAGGUGGCUUAUGGAAGGAUGGAAUUGUUGGUCAUGUGGUGUGCACUGCAUUUUUGCCGCAGGUUUGUAGCAGGAUGUUUGGAACUUGUUGAGCCAAUGAUGCUAUGCUUGAUUUGCCUUCAAUUAAUCAUGGUCAAAUGGAAGUGGAUGGAACAUGGAAGAUCAAGAAACAAAUGGAUGGAGCAUGGAACAUGAAAUGUGCUACCAAGAUUUUUUCUCCUUUGUUCACCUUGAUUCAUAUGUGAUGUAUGGAUUGUAAUGCUAGGUAUAUUUAGGCCAAGGCUUUUGUAAUGAAAUGAUGCAAUGCUUGUAUGAACUUAUGCUUAACUUGUAACGCAAGCAAGGUUUCAAAUUGAAUCAAAAAUUCAAACAUUAUCUUUUC